UACGUAGGCAGCAAGCGUUGUUCGGAGUUACUGGGCGUAAAGGGUGCGUAGGCGGUUGUUUAAGUUUGGUGUGAAAUCCCCAGGCUUAACUUGGGAACUGCGUCGGAUACUGGUGGGCUUGAAUCCGGGAGAGGGAUGCGGAAUUCCAGGUGUAGCGGUGAAAUGCGUAGAUAUCUGGAGGAACACCGGUGGCGAAGGCAAUCCCCUGGGCCUGCACUGACGCUCAUGCACGAAAGCGUGGGGAGCAAACAGG
rnacentral:rRNA from 1 species